GCAUAUGUUUCAUACACGAUAUUAUUUAGUAACCCACUAAACUUGAACUAUAUCUAUCGUAUCGAGUAACAAGCUUAAAGGAAAACUUUACAGUCAGAUAUAAUGGACAUUUCCUUGUUAGUAUUUUGCAUCGUUAUGGCUGCUAUAUUUACAAUUACGCCUCCAAUCUGUGGAAGAAUGGACAGUGCACCUGAUAUAACGGAUGCAGAAAAU